CUCGUACGUACAUAUUCAGUACGCUUUCGAGAUCUAUUCAGUACCUUCGCGAUGAUAAUUCUGGCAACACUGAGUAGUAGUAAUAAUUCAUUUCAAACAAAGUUGGCAUAAUGCACAAUGAAGCACAACAUAGCCCAUACUGCUUUAAAUGACUUAUUAAAACUAGUACAACCUAUUUGUUAAGAGUUGCCUUUGGAUGCAAAAACCUUUGCUUCAAACAGAAUAUUCCUAUCAGCCUUGAAAACGUCUUUCAAGAAGGCGUCCUGUCAGAGCUAUGUAAGUAUACGUCUCUAUAUUACACGUCAUGGACGAAGGACGAAUAGAGAUGGCGGCGCUUAAGUGAGCCACGCACGGCUGCCUCUGGUGGAGCGUCGAGGUACCAGGGAAGGGCGUUGGCCGGGGGUUGUACUGACGUCGAGAGUACGCACAGUUUAGUUUUUUGUUUGAUAGUUCCACGACCGGGCAAACAAUUGUUUACCCCCUAUUAAAAUUAAAUAAAGGAGUUGUUUAUUAGUUUAAA